CCUACGGGGGGCAGCAGUGAGGAAUAUUGGUCAAUGGACGAGAGUCUGAACCAGCCAAGUAGCGUGAAGGAUGACUGCCCUAUGGGUUGUAAACUUCUUUUAUAUGGGAAUAAAACGUUCCACGUGUGGGAUUUUGUAUGUACCAUAUGAAUAAGGAUCGGCUAACUCCGUGCCAGCAGCCGCGGUAAUACGGAGGAUCCGAGCGUUAUCCGGAUUUAUUGGGUUUAAAGGGAGCGUAGGGGGAUUGUUAAGUCAGUUGUGAAAGUUUGCGGCUCAACCGUAAAAUUGCAGUUGAAACUGGCAGUCUUGAGUACAGUAGAGGUGGGCGGAAUUCGUGGUGUAGCGGUGAAAUGCUUAGAUAUCACGAAGAACUCCGAUUGCGAAGGCAGUUCACUGGACUGCAACUGACACUGAGGCUCGAAAGUGUGGGUAUCAAACAGGAUUAGAUACCCGUGUAGUC
rnacentral:rRNA from 1 species